rnacentral:tRNA from 1 species
CCCUGGCGGCUUAGACAGUAAAGAGUCUGCUUGCAAAGCAGAAGACCCAGGUUCAAUCCCUGGGUCAGGAA